GUCAGGAUGGCCGAGUGGUCUAAGGCCCCGGACUCGAGCUCUGGUCCUCAUUUGAGGGCGUGGAUUCAAAUCCCACUUCUGACA